AUUACGAUGAGCCUCCAGUCAGCUCUGUCGUGUUCAAACAAAUGUUCUGAAUUACUGUUUUUCACCUGAUUUCACAAUCAGCUCUUUGCAACCCACUACACUGUCACUAGCAAUCUGACUGAAGGCAAAAAAUUUCUUUAAUGUCUAAAUCGGUUUAUUCUGGAUAAUCUCAACACCUUUCAGCAGCAGUAGUAUUUAAAUACAGCUGAAGAAGAACAAAAUAGCGUGUCUGAAUUUUACAAAAGCUUUGUGUAUCUGUUAUUUUCUUUCUUCCUGGAAUCUUAUAAGUACUAUGUGUGGCAUUUGCACUUUUUUUUUGCCAUGUCUUGCUUAAAAUUUUGCCUUCUCGAGUGUAAAGGUUAGCAUACUUUAAGACUGAUAGUCUUUGACAUAGGAAAGUGAUGGUGUUUAAAAAGUUACAAAACUAUACAUAAACACUGAGUUUAAAAUCUUGGGUCAAGGAAGCUUAGUAAUGUAUCUAUCAAGUACACCUCUAUUGUCCUGAUGCUGUUGAUAGAGAGUAUAAAUCCAUGUCUUUUGGAAUAUAAUAGGAAUGAAAUGACCAUGGAAAGCAUCCUUACUUGCAGCUUGAAGUUCAUUUCCAGCCACCACUUCAUAUAUACUCUUUCUUUCCUUUUCUAUGAUCCCCUCCUUCUUCCCAGUUUUCAAAGAAAGGAAUAUCACAGGUUGUGGAUGAAUUCCUGGAGGCAUUCAAGGCCAGGCUGGAUGUGGCUCUGGGCAGCCUGGUCUGGUGUUUGGUGACCCUGCCCAUGGCAGAGGGGUUGAAACUAGAUGAUCGUUGUGGUCCUUUUCAACCCAGGCCAUUCUAUGAUCAGGGAGAUGGGAUUAGGGAAGACAAGUUGCCUAUGUCCAUUCUUCAUCAAUUAUUUUCAAUUAUUUUUUUAAUCCUUUUUUCUACAAAGUGGAAACCUUUACCAGAGCACUAUCUAGGCAAAAUCUUCCCAUGUGUAUAUAUGUUGGGAUAAAAUGCAGUGUUUCAACUGUGUUUUUUCUACGAGCACGCUAAAUAAAGAUGAAUAAAGAUUCAUAGCAUCUCUGUUUAAGUAUUAGUGCUUUGAAUACCUGGUAGAUUUAAAGCUGAAUAAAUAAAAAAUUAAGAAGUCCUUAUAUUUUCCAGCUGUUAGUUAUGUCUUGUGAUCCGGCUUGGUAUGCGAGCUGUUCACCAGCAGAGGGCAUUGUGCACCUCGGGGAAACGCAGAUUGCAAAAGCAGUCGCAAGAGAAGGGAAAAAUUCUGACCUUCUGAAGGCAUUGCAAAUUUUAGGAAGUUAAGCAGAAGCUUAAUACAAACUGAAAUUUCCAAUCACAGGAUCUGACGUAUUUCCCAAUGUCAUCUCUCAUCUCUGUAGCUCCUGCACUAGGAAAAACAGAGUGCUCCAAACAUGACUGCUUCAGAGGACCUGAGAAUACUGACACCAGCCUAGCAGAGGACUCCAUGAAAAGUGAAAAAACAUCCUGCAGUCUCUCAUCCAGAUGUAUCAUUUUGGCACGUCGAAGAUGAAGAGACACUAUAGCUUGCAAAAUUAGAUCUCAC
ensembl:lncRNA